AGUGAACGUUGGCGGCGUGGAUUAGGCAUGCGAGUCGAGCGAGAACCGUAGCAAUACGGGGACAGCGGCGAAAGGGACAGUAAUGUGUAGGUACCUACCUCCGGGUUCGGGAUAGCUGCGGGAAACUGCAGGUAAUACCGAAUAACGUCUCCGGACCAAAGGUGUGAUUCCACCUGGAGAGGGGCCUGCAUCCUAUUAGCUUGUUGGCGGGGUAACGGCCCACCAAGGCGACGAUGGGUAGCGGGUGUGAGAGCACGACCCGCGUCAUUGGGACUGAGACACUGCCCAGACACCUACGGGUGGCUGCAGUCGAGGAUCUUCGGCAAUGGGCGCAAGCCUGACCGAGCGACGCCGCGUGCGGGAUGAAGGCCUUCGGGUUGUAAACCGCUGUCGUAGAGGAGGAAGUGCAGGGGGGUUCUCCCCUCUGUUUGACCUAUUCUAGGAGGAAGGACGGGCUAAGUUCGUGCCAGCAGCCGCCGCAG
rnacentral:rRNA from 1 species